rnacentral:lncRNA from 1 species
AUGUUGAACAACAACUUAACUUCUCCGCUUGUGCCAAACGUGUCCCGACACAUCUCUGGGGCGGAGGAAAGCUGCAGCACAGAAGGAAGUGCAGGCAGAGCCUGGCCACGCUGCUUCUCUCUGGCCUGGCUGUUGUUGCCACAAAGGCUUUGCCAGUGCUGGUGUCACGUUUUCUGCCAAAGCCGUGCGUGCUUCCCAUGCCGUGCUGCGGCACUGCGGCAGGGUCACCGGCCUGCAGCUCUUCUGGAGCGGGAGCAAAGGCACACCACUCACUGCCACUGCUGGUUCCGUGGGAUGUACUGGUGUGCCCGUAGGCUGUGAUACAGUCUGCAUUACUUCACUUUGACCCACUCACUGUUGGUGCAGGAGGGGCUGGCCCAGCAGCGGGUUAUUUCUGGCCACCACAGCAGUGCUGACACCGGGCUUUCCUGGGAUGGCAAUUUGGAGGCUUUAAAGAAGUAUCAGCAGCCUCUCGUAAUGGCAGUGUCGUUCAAUGAAUCGCCCAUAAUAAACGGCCAGUGACAUCAGACAUAAAUCAUCUCUCCUCUACAAUGCUACAUUAACCUAUUUUCCUUGUAUAACCAUGCUUCUCUGGAGCUUACACCUAGGAUACUAAAAUUCUACCAUGCAAAUUGCCUGCAAAGAGUUAACUUUGCAUGGUUUCUUAAAAGUGCUCUUUAAUUAUGAAAUUAAAAAUAAUACCAGCAUAAUACUUGGUACCAAGCUGCGUAUAACCCCGAAGCUUCUCCCAGCUGGCGGCCAGAAGGAGAGACCACGUGAGCGAGGUUCCACCCGCGGCUGCAGGGCUGGGAAGUUUAAAUACAGCAUAAAGUUGUUUUCAUAAUGUUGACUUUUUUACAGGCAACAGAAAUUCUGAUUUUCAGCUACCUUCCCUGUGCACCAGGCCUCUCCCUGUGGUUUCUUUUGCUGCUGCUCAGGUUCCGCUCUGCAGGACCACCAGCAGACCUGCCUGAAGGGGAGGCAGGGGGCAGGACUGAUUCGAAUCGUUUACUGGGGAACCAGGAAGGCCGUAAUGGUGCCUCACAAAGAGAGGUGUGAACCUGUCAGUGCUCGAGCUGUGUGCCUGCUGCAGGAGCCCUGUGUGGACGUGUGACCCCACCCCGUGCCUACGAACACCCCCAGCGCCC